AUUCCCUAAGCUCUAAUUUCUAUCUCAAAACUCUGCUAAAAUUUUCGUUCGAGCACUCCAUUCUUGUUGAGGCAGAGAACUGACUUGAGUGUCGGAGGGUCUUGCCGGAGCACCCCCAACUCCGGUUUAGACUUCCUUUGCAGGUCCCGACGGCGACCGCGACUCCCUCGACUCCAGCUUCUCCGACGCAGGCGGAUUUUUUUACCAACACAUUCAUUUUUUAUUUUACAAAAUACUUCAAUUUCUUUUCUUUUAAUUCUUGUUCAAAUGAUUUCAUCCUUGCUUUAAUAUCAAAAUAAGAAAAAGAGAAAGAAAUAUUCCUUUCACAUUUAUUGCUCUGAUACUAAAAACAAGAAAGAAAAGAA
rnacentral:lncRNA from 1 species